rnacentral:lncRNA from 1 species
AUUCAUUGAUGUUUAGAUAUGUUUCACCAUGCUGGAUCCAUAUUACAAACUUCUUUCGUAACUAUUUUUUUUUAAUGGCUGCCUGAUAAAUCAAAUUGAUUCAGCUCCACGAUUCAUCUUCAAGGCUUGGCUCAGAUGUGAAAGGCGGUCUGUAAACAUUCUAAAUAGAUGUGAGUAUUGCUUUUCUUGAACUCAUCUUCUCUUUGUAUCUCUUAAAUCUAUCUUAGAUUAGUCUACCUCCUUUUGCUUGCGCAUUCAUAAAGCUGUUCGCGGAGACGUUUUUUUACAGAGCAUGAGGUUAAUAUGAGACGAUAGCAGCGUUGUGUUUCGCGGCGGCCAUUGAUGCGAUGGACGGACGAUUCGGUUAAGGCAGAUGCUUCUUCUUAGGCUGGAGAGAGGUGAUGAAUCAGAUGAUGGAGGCAUGGUAACAAGUCCCAAAUUUACCAGAGGAGGCUUCUCCACCAGGAUAAAGGGGUGACAUGCUCUUGAUUGAUGUAAAGGUUAGCCUCCUCAUCUUCCUUCCCUCGCAAUUCUUUUCAGUUUCGGAUUACUUAAGAGCAAUUCUGACAUUUUGAACUUCAUAAAGUUAAUUGGACUAGAUCUGAGUUUUUUUUUUAUAUUUCUUGGUUAAAAGGGUUUGUAAAAUCAUCUACCCAUGUUUCGUUUUCUCAUUUGUGCAUCUAUUUAGUGACAAAGUAAUUAAAGCUUCAAAAUACAUUUUUCAAUGUAAUGAGAUUAGAAAGGCAGGAUAUUUUGGUGACCAUAGUUAAUAUAGAAAUCUCUAUCUUUUGAUUGGUGCAAUUUCUUCAGCCUACUUCCAAAUUAAUGUUUUCACCACCAAAGAAAUACAUCUGAGCAAUUUAGCUAGAAUAUGAUGUAAUUUUUGUUUAAUUAUGGAAUCUUUAUGGGUUAUUAAAAGGAAGUUUGAUGUAUGACAUACUUCAUAUAUGCUACUCAGCUUCUGCUCAAUCCGCACAGCUUCAGUGCUUAAUGCUUGCAGAUUACUUGACGUUAAAAGACGUUUCCAAAGAGUGUUCUCAGAAGUAGCUGAGAGACGAAGCUAUAAGAAUCUAGCGUGAGUAAACCGCAUUUGUUGCAGUCUGGGAA